UGGGCUUUACUUAAGAGCAGCAGGUUAUGCGAUAGGAUCUUCCCUUGAGUAGGGAUGAUUCUCAAGGUUAUGCCCGUGUAGCGAUCAUAACAUCAGGAUGUUUUGCUGAUCAAUACAGGACUUCUAUGGAAAACUCUUAAACACCAUUGAGCAUAACGUCGAGUAUUUUAAGAGCUAAUCCAUGCAAUGAUCAGAAUUUCUACAACGUAUUAUCUGGAGCCUUCAAAAUAUUACCAUUUCAAGAGGUGAAUUCAAAUACAACUUUGCAUUGCUGAGUUAUCUUUCGGUGGGAUAGUGAUACUGUAUAUAAUACACAAAAAGUGAAAGAUUGGAGAGACAUGAAGAAAAGUUGCCAUCAUAUCAACCUGAAGAGAUUGAAUAAACCAGCACAGGUCUCAAAAGGUCUUUCAGUCAGAAUUCGUCCUGGUGCUGAGUUUACUGUUUCAUAUAAUGACAAGAAACAGACAGAGGAAUGAAGGGAAUGUCACCUCAUUGUAGAAGUUGGUGUUGCUGAUUUCCCUGUAGUGUCUCUGCUCCUGUGCAAAUGAAGAAGGAGGUGUCUGUUUUAAGGCGACUGAACAUCAUCUGCAUCACCAAGCAUGGCACAGGAAGUCAGAAGGUGUUUCAUUGCUCCUUUACAACCAGUGGACUGCUAUGGUUGCUCAAGCAGAUAAUAAGCUGGCCGUACAGUGGUAAGCCUUGGCAUGGUUUAUUUUCUGUUCACAGGAAAAUCCUACCUUUACUAUUGAUGUAGAGAGUGUGUCAAAAUGUUGCAGUCAAAUGCAGGUGCUCUGAAAUUUUGUGCCUGUAGAAGACAUAAGGAAAAACUGUGGACGGAUUCGUGGAGAGCACUAGGGUGGAAUAGUGCUAUCUUGAAAAUAUGCAGGAUGUCGGUUACUCCACAGGGCUGGUCAGCAGCUGUGCACUGUAAAUGCACUGAACAGGUGGAGCAUAGCAGGCUGCUUGGCUUUGCUGUAAAGUAUCUCUGGGCAAGUUGAAUGAGGUUUUGCUGAUCUGACAGCAUUUCAGAACAUCAUCCAGCUCCAGUGAAGCGAUCUUAAAAUUUAAGCAUUUUCAGCCAAUAAACCUGUUGAUGGGACUAAUAGAAGUAACAUGCUUGAAACAAGUGUGAGAAAUAUGAAGAGAAAGGUAAUCAAGACGUUUUUUCCCCCUCAGCCAGCGUAUGAGAUAUUUGUAGACGUACCAGUUGAACCAUUCAAACAUCUGAUAUAUGUCACUUAUAAAAAUCUAUAUGUUUACCCUAGCAUAUAGGCAUACAGAAAUUUUAGCAGCCUUGCAGAUAACAGAAGGAAAAAUAACUUGAGGAUUUGGAAUAUUAAGGAGCUUGACGUUUUGAGAGCUGUUGAACACUGUACAUUCUCUCAGCAAUGAUCAACACAAAGUUAUUUAGCACAGGUGUUUAUGUAAUUGAGAUACAUUAGGAAAACUAGCAGUGCUCAAUGAGCCUCAAACUGGCAUUUAUGCUCUUAUGUUUAAAUACACUUCUGUUAAUUAUAAAGAGUUAUGGUAUGAAAUAAAUACCAUAACUUGCUCGUGUAAGAAAACUUGCUGAUGGAUUUUCGAGGCACAUAUUCCUUCAUUUCUUAAGUUGCUGCAUAGCUGGAUUUUGUAACAGACAAUGUAGAACACAAAACCACUUCAAGGAUUUCUACACAGUGAGUUUGAGCCAAAACGUUUCUCCUGCUACUGCAGUAUUGGCAACAUUCCCUAACAGCAAAUGUGCAGCUGAAAACAAUACAGAUGUAAAUGAGUGAGUUUUCAAAUUCUAAUCCUGUGAUACUUUUAUCAC